rnacentral:misc_RNA from 1 species
GAUGAAGAACGUAGCGAAAUGCGAUAAGUAGUGUGAAUUGCAGAAUUCAGUGAAUCAUCGAAUCUUUGAACGCACAUUGCGCCCCUUGGUAUUCCAUGGGGCAUGCCUGUUCGAGCGUCAUUUGUACCUUCAAGCUCUGCUUGGUGUUGGGUGUUUGUCUCGCCUCUGCGUGUAGACUCGCCUCAAAACAAUUGGCAGCCGGCGUAUUGAUUUCGGAGCGCAGUACAUCUCGCGCUUUGCACUCAUAACGACGACGUCCAAAAGUACAUUUUUACACUCUUGACCUCGGAUCAGGUAAGGAUACCCGCUGAACUUAAGCAUAUCAAUAAGCGGAGGA